rnacentral:lncRNA from 1 species
GUAAAGACCAUCAUCCAGUUUACCAAUUUCCAGUGGCCUCUUCAGAGAAGGGGCCUGUAUUAGACAAGAAAAUUUAGUAAAUAGGACAAUAGAAUUCAAUUGUUGAACAAGCUUGGAAACAGAAAUGAGAUUGUAAUGAAAGCUGGGAAUGUAUAGGACAUGAUGCAAAGUGAAACAAAGAAAUUUGAGAGAUCCAAUACAUGUUACUUUAACCUUGUAACCAUUAGGUAGGGUAACUAAGUAUGGGAUAACUAGGGGUUUGAUGUCAAAGAGAAGGGAUUUAUUUGAAGUCAUAUGGUCAGUGGCACCAGAAUCAAUAAUCCAAAUACAUGCACUAACUCUAGUUAACAUGCAAGCACCAUAAGACACAUCUUUUAAAGGCUUGAUAGAAGAAGAAAGUGUACCAGCAAAAUUUGCAGAACCCAUCACAUUGGAUUGAUGCUGAGAUUCAGAAGCUUGAGUUUGUUGGAGGAGGGUCAAAAGCUGUGAAUACUGCUCUUUUUUCAACCCAGGAAUACCAGAAUCUGAAGUAGAGCAACUUUGAACACUCUCCCCCAUAUUGGACAUAUCAACAUUUGCAGCAGAACCCAUACCCUUUUGUACAUCAGCACUAGCAGCAGUUCUCUUAUCCUUAGUAAACUUGAAAUCUGGGGGGAACCCAUGCAACUUGUAGCAUUUCUCAAUUAAGUGACCUGGUUUCUUGCAGUAUCUACACACUAGGUCUGUUUUGUUGGUGUCAAAUCUAAUUUUCUGAUUGAAAUGUUUAGGAUUUGAAUGUGUUCCAUAAGGUUUUUUCAUAAACUGGGUGCUAAAAGCACUGGAAUCAGUAUGAAAUUGGGAAGGUGAAUGAGUGACUUGUCUCUGCCUCUCAUCCUGAAGGAGUAUGUUAUAUGCACUGUCCAAUGAGGGUGGGGGUUGCAUCAUAAGGAUAUUACUUCUAACACCUAUGUAUGUGUCAUUUAGCCCCAUAAGAAAUUGAUGUAGUUUAUUCUCAUCAUCUUCUUUCUGAAAUUCAAUUCUAGCAGUACAUGCAACACCACAAGCAGAUGCAUUACCCCUUGAGGAUCUCAUAAAAUUCAACUCAUCCCAUAAUUUCUUCAAUUUAUUGAAAUAGGAUGCUAUAUCCAAGGAACCCUGAGUAGUAGAAGCUAAUUGUUGUUUCACUUCAAAAAUUUUUGUACCAUUAACUGACCCAUAUCUGUUGUUAAGUUGAGUCCAAAUACUCUGAGCAGUGUCAGAGUAUUGUACACUCUCUGCUAUCUCAGGAGUAAGGGAAUUUGUGAGCCACGAAAUGACCAUAUUGUUGCAUCUAUCCCACUGUCUAAGUUGAGGAGAAUUUUCAAGGGGUUUGGGCACAGAACCAUCAAUGAAACCUAAUUUGUUUCUAGCGGACAAAGAAACUAUUACGUUUCUUCUCCAUCCCCCAAAACCAAUCCCUGAAAAUGGAUUGGUAACCAAAGACACCCCAGGAACAUCAGAUGACAUGAGAAAUAGGGGAUUUGUAGGACUAGGAACAAAAUUAGUAGGAAUAGAGGAGGAAUCACCAUCGAUUUCAACCAUUUUUACCUACUGAUGAUGUUUAAACUCAAACAAACUAACAGAUCGUGACUACAACAAAUGGCUAACACAGAAUCCAACCAAAAACAAAAACUCUGAUGUUUACACAACAGAUAGCAAGUCUAACAACAAAAAAAUACAAGUAAUUUGACGAAAACUAACCGAAUCGAAAAAAAACCUUAGUUUUGAGAAUCAACAGAAACUUGAAUGAAAACCGGUGAGGGUAACAUCGAUCGAAAGCUGACGACGACGAGAACCAGAAUAUACCCGCUCUGAUACCAUGUUAACAUUCUAUGUCGUCGGAUUAAAAGAAAAUUGAAGAAGGAGAUCCUAAUUUUUGAGAAUCAACAGAAACAUGAAUGAAAACCGGUGAGUGUAACAUCGAUCGAAAGCUAACGACGAGGAGAACCAGAAUAUACCCGCUCUGAUACCAUGUCAACAUUCUAUCUCGUCGGAUUGAAAGAAAAUGAAGAAGAAGAUGAACAGUUGAGAAGAGAGAGAAGAGAGAAAAUGAAAACUGAAAAUUGUAUUGAAAAUGACUGAAUGUCCCGAACCUUCUGCACCUACUCAGUAUAUACAAAAUGUAAUAAAAA